GAUGAACGCUGGCGGCGUGCCUAAUACAUGCAAGUCGAGCGAACAGACGAGGAGCUUGCUCCUCUGACGUUAGCGGCGGACGGGUGAGUGACACGUGGAUAACCUACCUAUAAGACUGGGAUAACUUCGGGAAACCGGAGCUAAUACCGGAUAAUAUAUUGAACCGCAUGGUUCAAUAGUGAAAGACGGUUUUGCUGUCACUUAUAGAUGGAUCCGCGCCGCAUUAGCUAGUUGGUAAGGUAACGGCUUACCAAGGCAACGAUGCGUAGCCGACCUGAGAGGGUGAGCGGCCAAAUUGGACUGAGACACGGUCCAGACUCCUACGGGAGGCAGCAGUAGGGAAUCUUCCGCAAUGGGCGAAAGCUUGACGGAGCAACGCCGCGUGAGUGAUGAAGGUCUUCGGAUCGUAAAACUCUGUUAUUAGGGAAGAACAAAUGUGUAAGUAACUAUGCACGUCUUGACGGUACCUAAUCAGAAAGCCACGGCUAACUACGUG
rnacentral:rRNA from 1 species